rnacentral:rRNA from 1 species
UUAAGCGACUAAGCGUACACGGUGGAUGCCCUGGCAGUCAGAGGCGAUGAAGGACGUGCUAAUCUGCGAUAAGCGUCGGUAAGGUGAUAUGAACCGUUAUAACCGGCGAUUUCCGAAUGGGGAAACCCAGUGUGUUUCGACACACUAUCAUUAACUGAAUCCAUAGGUUAAUGAGGCGAACCGGGGGAACUGAAACAUCUAAGUACCCCGAGGAAAAGAAAUCAACCGAGAUUCCCCCAGUAGCGGCGAGCGAACGGGGAGGAGCCCAGAGCCUGAAUCAGUAUGUGUGUUAGUGGAAGCGUCUGGAAAGGCGCGCGAUACAGGGUGACAGCCCCGUACACAAAAAUGCACAUGCUGUGAGCUCGAUGAGUAGGGCGGGACACGUGGUAUCCUGUCUGAAUAUGGGGGGACCAUCCUCCAAGGCUAAAUACUCCUGACUGACCGAUAGUGAACCAGUACCGUGAGGGAAAGGCGAAAAGAACCCCGGCGAGGGGAGUGAAAAAGAACCUGAAACCGUGUACGUACAAGCAGUGGGAGCACGCUUAGGCGUGUGACUGCGUACCUUUUGUAUAAUGGGUCAGCGACUUAUAUUCUGUAGCAAGGUUAACCGAAUAGGGGAGCCGAAGGGAAACCGAGUCUUAACUGGGCGUUAAGUUGCAGGGUAUAGACCCGAAACCCGGUGAUCUAGCCAUGGGCAGGUUGAAGGUUGGGUAACACUAACUGGAGGACCGAACCGACUAAUGUUGAAAAAUUAGCGGAUGACUUGUGGCUGGGGGUGAAAGGCCAAUCAAACCGGGAGAUAGCUGGUUCUCCCCGAAAGCUAUUUAGGUAGCGCCUCGUGAAUUCAUCUCCGGGGGUAGAGCACUGUUUCGGCAAGGGGGUCAUCCCGACUUACCAACCCGAUGCAAACUGCGAAUACCGGAGAAUGUUAUCACGGGAGACACACGGCGGGUGCUAACGUCCGUCGUGAAGAGGGAAACAACCCAGACCGCCAGCUAAGGUCCCAAAGUCAUGGUUAAGUGGGAAACGAUGUGGGAAGGCCCAGACAGCCAGGAUGUUGGCUUAGAAGCAGCCAUCAUUUAAAGAAAGCGUAAUAGCUCACUGGUCGAGUCGGCCUGCGCGGAAGAUGUAACGGGGCUAAACCAUGCACCGAAGCUGCGGCAGCGACGCUUAUGCGUUGUUGGGUAGGGGAGCGUUCUGUAAGCCUGUGAAGGUGUGCUGUGAGGCAUGCUGGAGGUAUCAGAAGUGCGAAUGCUGACAUAAGUAACGAUAAAGCGGGUGAAAAGCCCGCUCGCCGGAAGACCAAGGGUUCCUGUCCAACGUUAAUCGGGGCAGGGUGAGUCGACCCCUAAGGCGAGGCCGAAAGGCGUAGUCGAUGGGAAACAGGUUAAUAUUCCUGUACUUGGUGUUACUGCGAAGGGGGGACGGAGAAGGCUAUGUUGGCCGGGCGACGGUUGUCCCGGUUUAAGCGUGUAGGCUGGUUUUCCAGGCAAAUCCGGAAAAUCAAGGCUGAGGCGUGAUGACGAGGCACUACGGUGCUGAAGCAACAAAUGCCCUGCUUCCAGGAAAAGCCUCUAAGCAUCAGGUAACAUCAAAUCGUACCCCAAACCGACACAGGUGGUCAGGUAGAGAAUACCAAGGCGCUUGAGAGAACUCGGGUGAAGGAACUAGGCAAAAUGGUGCCGUAACUUCGGGAGAAGGCACGCUGAUAUGUAGGUGAAGUCCCUUGCGGAUGGAGCUGAAAUCAGUCGAAGAUACCAGCUGGCUGCAACUGUUUAUUAAAAACACAGCACUGUGCAAACACGAAAGUGGACGUAUACGGUGUGACGCCUGCCCGGUGCCGGAAGGUUAAUUGAUGGGGUUAGCGCAAGCGAAGCUCUUGAUCGAAGCCCCGGUAAACGGCGGCCGUAACUAUAACGGUCCUAAGGUAGCGAAAUUCCUUGUCGGGUAAGUUCCGACCUGCACGAAUGGCGUAAUGAUGGCCAGGCUGUCUCCACCCGAGACUCAGUGAAAUUGAACUCGCUGUGAAGAUGCAGUGUACCCGCGGCAAGACGGAAAGACCCCGUGAACCUUUACUAUAGCUUGACACUGAACAUUGAGCCUUGAUGUGUAGGAUAGGUGGGAGGCUUUGAAGUGUGGACGCCAGUCUGCAUGGAGCCGACCUUGAAAUACCACCCUUUAAUGUUUGAUGUUCUAACGUUGACCCGUAAUCCGGGUUGCGGACAGUGUCUGGUGGGUAGUUUGACUGGGGCGGUCUCCUCCUAAAGAGUAACGGAGGAGCACGAAGGUUGGCUAAUCCUGGUCGGACAUCAGGAGGUUAGUGCAAUGGCAUAAGCCAGCUUGACUGCGAGCGUGACGGCGCGAGCAGGUGCGAAAGCAGGUCAUAGUGAUCCGGUGGUUCUGAAUGGAAGGGCCAUCGCUCAACGGAUAAAAGGUACUCCGGGGAUAACAGGCUGAUACCGCCCAAGAGUUCAUAUCGACGGCGGUGUUUGGCACCUCGAUGUCGGCUCAUCACAUCCUGGGGCUGAAGUAGGUCCCAAGGGUAUGGCUGUUCGCCAUUUAAAGUGGUACGCGAGCUGGGUUUAGAACGUCGUGAGACAGUUCGGUCCCUAUCUGCCGUGGGCGCUGGAGAACUGAGGGGGGCUGCUCCUAGUACGAGAGGACCGGAGUGGACGCAUCACUGGUGUUCGGGUUGUCAUGCCAAUGGCACUGCCCGGUAGCUAAAUGCGGAAGAGAUAAGUGCUGAAAGCAUCUAAGCACGAAACUUGCCCCGAGAUGAGUUCUCCCUGACUCCUUGAGAGUCCUGAAGGAACGUUGAAGACGACGACGUUGAUAGGCCGGGUGUGUAAGCGCAGCGAUGCGUUGAGCUAACCGGUACUAAUGAACCGUGAGGCUUAACCUU